rnacentral:pre_miRNA from 1 species
GGCCCCAAAUUUGAAGUAGAGUAGAAGUAUGGUCAGCUGAUCCUACUAAUCUAAUACUCUACUUCACGUUUGUGCCC